CAUGAUGUAGUGGGCAUGGUGGUAAUGGGUUGACGGUUGGACAAGUUGAUCUUAGUGGUCUAUUCCCACCUUAGUGAUGCUGUGAUUCUAUGAGAUACCUGGGGAUUUGUGCUCCAGGGCAGCACAGCAUUUCAUUUCCUGGAUCUUCUCUUUGCCAUCAUGUGCUAGAAUUACUGGCAAUUGUCAAGCGUUUGGUGCUACGUGAAAAUAGUCUAGAAGUGUUCUCAAGGGUGGAGAUCAUCUCGAGCAACAGCUGGGGGAAAUAAGCCCAUGCUCAGAAGAAGCUUAUUUCUCAUCGUGGAGGAAUGUGAAGAUUUCCUGGCAUACACCUUACUGUCAGCAGCUUAAUCUCAGGAGGAUGAUGGACCUUCUGCAGAGCACUGGCAGCACCAUUCCGAUUAGACAACUGAGAUGGCCUUUGCACUUGAAGUUCUGUUGGAGAGAUACAGCUCAUUUUUCAAUGUAAGGAACCCCAAGCACUUCUUUGCUGGAUUUUCUGAGCAGAGCUCCCCUCAGCACUUGCAGAAAGGAGAGAAUGAGACACCUUGUCAUUUUCCUAAAGAGAAUUCAUGUGUGACCUCCAUCUCCCUCUCCACACUCUGCUACUUGCCUAUGGGUUCUUCAGAAAGCUCAGAGUAGCCAGCGAAAGAGGAACUUCCAGGAUGCACAACAGAGUUGCCUUGUAUUUGCUUUUGUUGCACUUAAUUCUUGGUUAUGUACAUUUCCUGCCAAAGGACAGACUUCUCGCUACGCUCUGCUUUGUGAUUAAAGAUUUGGGCAGUUUCUCAACUUACAUUUUGGCACUGGUUUUCUUUUGUUGCUUUGCACAGAUGUUGCCAGGGAGACCUGGCACUAAAGGAAGGGCUCUUCUCCUUUCUUCUCCUUUCUUCCACCACGCUCCCAUGCAGCAUGGCCCCAGUUAUCAUGAUUUAUCGCCACGCUUUGAGGAGUCAGGCAAUCUGCAGCUCAGCGAAGCAAGACCCCUUGGCAUGGCCCAUGUGCAGGAAAGCAGGGGCUCUCCUACACACUGGUGCCUCUGUGCUUUCCAACUUAUUAAGCAUAAACACAGCCAUAAUUAAAGCUUAUUCCUUUAACCAGUGUAGGUGAUCAGGUCAUGAAAACCUUGAGGAUAGUGGGAUGACGGACAGUAAACAUGGCAUGGAUUGAUGGAGUUUGAAGGGAGUAAAAGGUGUACAGAAUCUGGUUGGUUUUUUUUGUUUUUGUUUUUCCAGUAAUUCCUACAGAAUUGGGUGGAAAAAUACAGCUUUUA